GCUCCCGUAGUUAAAUGGAUAUAACAAUAGUCUUCGGAACUGUGGUUGUGGGUUCGAUUCCUACCGGGAGCACAA
rnacentral:tRNA from 1 species